GACGAACGCUGGCGGCGUGCUUAACACAUGCAAGUCGAACGGAAAGGCCCUGCUUUUGUGGGGUGCUCGAGUGGCGAACGGGUGAGUAACACGUGAGUAACCUGCCCUUGACUUUGGGAUAACUUCAGGAAACUGGGGCUAAUACCGGAUAGGAGCUCCUGCUGCAUGGUGGGGGUUGGAAAGUUUCGGCGGUUGGGGAUGGACUCGCGGCUUAUCAGCUUGUUGGUGGGGUAGUGGCUUACCAAGGCUUUGACGGGUAGCCGGCCUGAGAGGGUGACCGGCCACAUUGGGACUGAGAUACGGACCAGACUCGUACGGGAGGCAGCAGUGGGGAAUAUUGCACAGUGGGCGGAAGCCUGAUGCAGCAACGCCGCGUGCGGGAUGACGGCCUUCGGGUUGUAAACCGCUUUCGCCUGUGACGAAGCGUGAGUGACGGUAAUGGGUAAAGAAGCACCGGCUAACUACGUG
rnacentral:rRNA from 1 species